CGCUAGGAGCCGCGGCUCGGCUUCGUCUCCGUCCUCUCCAUUCAGCACCACGGGUCCCGGAAAAAGCUCAGCCGCGGUCCCAACCGCACCCUAGCUUCGUUACCUGCGCCUCCAGCGGCCCUGCGUCCUCUGCGCUCUCAUCCUUACAGGGGCCCUAGACGGCCAGAACUGAGCGACGCGGCCUCGCCUCACUCCGGCGGGGACCGUUAUGACAACCCGCAACUGCCCCGCGGCACACCGCGGCCCUCCGGCCCACACCCCUCCGGCCCGCCCCUUAGACCGUUGGUUGGUGCUUUCCAGACGCGACCGAAGGCGCCUGACCGCCGUGGCCGGCUGCCUAUUGGUUUGCAGUACUGUCGCUCAGGUGCAGUUCCCACUUCCGCCUGUUUCUUCCCUUUCCUGUUAGGCGAGAGCUGCGAAAGGCGAGAGCUGCGAAGGGCCAGGUGUCGGGCGCUGUUUCUCGCAGUCACAAUAAAUUAAACUCAUUUCGUACGGAAAACGGACUGUAUUGGGCCUCCUAAAGCUGCUGCUGUCGGUUUUCGUGAGUCUUGUUCUAUAUGAGAAAAGAAGAAUGGCUCGGAGCAUUGUUAAUUAUUUGAGAUGUGCAAAAUUUGCCGGGCCCAGAGAGACAGCAGUAUGGGACUUCAGACACCUCCCCACUUAAUGCCUGGCAUUUUAUUCCUGACUAGCUGCUUCACCCAUUAUGUCCGCGUUCCUGGAAUUUGUCAUGAAAAGAAUGAUGUAUAGCC
rnacentral:lncRNA from 10 species